rnacentral:rRNA from 1 species
AUUGAACGCUGGCGGCAGGCCUAACACAUGCAAGUCGAACGAGUGGCGGACGGGUGAGUAAUGUCUGGGAACCUGCCCAAUGGUGGGGGAUAACUACUGGAAACGUUAGCUAAUACCGCAUACCAUCGGAUGUGCCCAGAUGGGAUUAGCUAGUGGGUGGGGUAACGGCUCACCUAGGCGACGAUCCGUAGCUGGUCUGAGAGGAUGACCAGCCACACUGGAACUGAGACAUGGCCCAGACUCCUACGGGAGGCAGCAGUGGGGAAUAUUGGACAAUGGGCGCAAGCCUGAUGCAGCCAUGCCGCGUGUAUGAAGAAGGCCUUCGGGUUGUAAAGUACUUUCAGCGGGGAGGCGGUACCCGCAGAAGAAGCACCGGCUAACUACGUGCCAGCAGCCGCGGUAAUAC